rnacentral:rRNA from 1 species
UGGAGAAAAGCAGGGGAUCGCAAGACCUUGCGCUUUUGGAGUGGCCGAUGCCUGAUUAGCUAGUUGGUAGGGUAAUGGCUUACCAAGGCGACGAUCAGUAGUUGGUCUGAGAGGACGACCAGCCACACUGGGACUGAGACACGGCCCAGACUCCUACGGGAGGCAGCAGUGGGGAAUUUUGGACAAUGGGCGAAAGCCUGAUCCAGCAAUGCCGCGUGAGUGAAGAAGGCCUUCGGGUUGUAAAGCUCUUUCAGUCGAGAAGAAAAGGUUGUGACUAAUAAUCACAACUCAUGACGGUAUCGACAGAAGAAGCACCGGCUAACUACGUGCCAGCAGCCGCGGUAAUACAUAGGGUGCGAGCGUUAAUCGGAAUUACUGGGCGUAAAGGGUGCGCAGGCGGCUUUGUAAGUCAGAUGUGA